rnacentral:rRNA from 1 species
UACGUAGGGGGCAAGCGUUGUCCGGAAUUAUUGGGCGUAAAGAGCGCGUAGGCGGUCCGAUAAGUCGGCUGUGAAAGUCCAGGGCUCAACCCUGGAAAGCCGGCCGAUACUGUCGGACUAGAGUCCGGAAGAGGCGAGUGGAAUUCCCGGUGUAGCGGUGAAAUGCGCAGAUAUUGGGAAGAACACCAGUGGCGAAGGCGGUUCUCUGGGACGGUACUGACGCUGAGACGCGAAAGCGUGGGGAGCGAACAGG